rnacentral:rRNA from 1 species
UACGUAGGGGGCGAGCGUUGUCCGAAGUUACUGGGCGUAAAGCGCGCGUAGGCGGUCUCUUAAGUCCGGGGUGAAAGGUUCAGCGCUCAACGCGAACAGUGCCCUGGAGACUGGGGGGACUUGAGUUGGUGGGGAGGGGGCAGUGGAAUUCCAGGUGUAGCGGUGAAAUGCGUAGAUAUCUGGAGGAACACCGGUGGCGAAGGCG